UACGUAGGGUGCGAGCGUUAAUCGGAAUUACUGGGCGUAAAGCGUGCGCAGGCGGUGAUGUAAGACCGAUGUGAAAUCCCCGGGCUUAACCUGGGAACUGCAUUGGUUACUGCAUUGCUCGAGUAUGGCAGAGGGGGGUGGAAUUCCACGUGUAGCAGUGAAAUGCGUAGAGAUGUGGAGGAACACCGAUGGCGAAGGCAGCCCCCUGGGCCAAUACUGACGCUCAUGCACGAAAGCGUGGGGAGCAAACAGG
rnacentral:rRNA from 1 species